rnacentral:rRNA from 1 species
GACGAACGCUGGCGGCGUGCUUAACACAUGCAAGUCGAACGGAAAGGCCCUGCUUUUGUGGGGUGCUCGAGUGGCGAACGGGUGAGUAACACGUGAGUAACCUGCCCUUGACUUUGGGAUAACUUCAGGAAACUGGGGCUAAUACCGGAUAGGAGCUCCUGCUGCAUGGUGUGGGUUGGAAAGUUUCGGCGGUUGGGGAUGGACUCGCGGCUUAUCAGCUUGUUGGUGGGGUAGUGGCUUACCAAGGCUUUGACGGGUAGCCGGCCUGAGAGGGUGACCGGCGACAUUGGGACUGAGAGACGGCGCAGACGCCAACGGGAGGCAGCAGUGGGGAAUAUUGCACAGUGGGGGGGAGUGUGAGGCAGCAACGCCGCGUGCGUGAUGACCGGCUUCGGGUUGUAAACCGCUUUGGCCUGUGACGAAGAGUGAGUGACGGUAAUGGGUAAAGAAGCACCGGCUAACUACGUG